rfam:Novosphingobium pentaromativorans TS6-1 contig00054, whole genome shotgun sequence.
GUAGCCGCGAGGCCGUGUGGGGAAGAACCGCAGCAUCAAACGAAAGUGAACCCCUGAGCAGGCUGUUUCGGUAGGGUGAGCGUACCUUCGACCGCGACGCCCAAAAUCCAACCGAGGCCGGGGCAGUAAUGGGGGCGGGCGCGGCGG